AUGAACGCUGGCGGCGUGCUUAACACAUUCAAGUCGAACGAUGAAGCCCAGCUUGCUGGGUGGAUUAGUGGCGAACGGGUGAGUAACACGUGAGUAACCUGCCCUUAACUCUGGGAUAAGCCUGGGAAACUGGGUCUAAUACCGGAUAGGAGCGUCCACCGCAUGGUGGGUGUUGGAAAGAUUUAUCGGUUUUGGAUGGACUCGCGGCCUAUCAGCUUGUUGGUGAGGUAAUGGCUCACCAAGGCGACGACGGGUAGCCGGCCUGAGAGGGUGACCGGCCACACUGGGACUGAGACACGGCCCAGACUCCUACGGGAGGCAGCAGUGGGGAAUAUUGCACAAUGGGCGCAAGCCUGAUGCAGCGACGCCGCGUGAGGGAUGACGGCCUUCGGGUUGUAAACCUCUUUCAGUAGGGAAGAAGCGAAAGUGACGGUACCUGCAGAAGAAGCACCGGCUAACUACGUG
rnacentral:rRNA from 1 species